rnacentral:rRNA from 1 species
GUGAGGAAUAUUGGUCAAUGGGCGGGAGCCUGAACCAGCCAAGCCGCGUGAAGGAAGAAGGAUCUAUGGUUCGUAAACUUCUUUUGCAGGGGAAUAAAGUGCAGGACGUGUCCUGUUUUGUAUGUACCCUGAGAAUAAGGAUCGGCUAACUCCGUGCCAGCAGCCGCGGUAAUACGGAGGAUCCGAGCGUUAUCCGGAUUUAUUGGGUUUAAAGGGUGCGUAGGUGGUUUGAUAAGUCAGCGGUGAAAGUUUGUAGCUUAACUGUAAAAUUGCCGUUGAAACUGUCGGUCUUGAGUGCAAAUGAGGUAGGCGGAAUGCGUGGUGUAGCGGUGAAAUGCAUAGAUAUCACGCAGAACUCCGAUUGCGAAGGCAGCUUACUAAGCUACAACUGACACUGAAGCACGAAAGCGUGGGGAUCAAACAGGAUUAGAUACCCGGGUAGUCC